rnacentral:rRNA from 1 species
AUGAACGCUGGCGGCGUGCCUAACACAUGCAAGUCGAGCGGCAGCGAGGGGUGCUUGCACCCUGUCGGCGAGCGGCGGACGGCUGAGUAACGCGUGGGAACGUGCCCCAAAGUGAGGAAUAACUGCCCGAAAGGGUAGCUAAUACCGCAUAUUAUCUUCGGAUCAAAGGAUUUAUCCGCUUUGGGAGCGGCUCGCGUCGGAUUAGGUAGUUGGUGAGGUAAUGGCUCACCAAGCCGACGAUCCGUAGCUGGUCUGAGAGGAUGACCAGCCAGACUGGAACUGAGACACGGUCCAGACUCCUACGGGAGGCAGCAGUGAGGAAUCUUCCAAAAUGGGCGAAAGCCUGAUGGAGCAACGCCGCGUGAAGGACGAAGGCCUUCGGGUUGUAAACUGCUUUUAUAAGUGAGGAAUAUGACGGUAACUUAUGAAUAAGGAUCGGCUAACUACGUG